UACGGAGGGGGCUAGCGUUGUUCGGAAAUACUGGGCGUAAAGCGCACGUAGGCGGCGCAGCAAGUCAGGGGUGAAAUCCCGGGGCUCAACCCCGGAACUGCCCUUGAAACUGCAGUGCUAGAAUCUUGGAGAGGCGAGUGGAAUUCCGAGUGUAGAGGUGAAAUUCGUAGAUAUUCGGAAGAACACCAGUGGCGAAGGCGACUCGCUGGACAGUUACUGACGCUGAGACGCGAAAGCGUGGGGAGCAAACAGG
rnacentral:rRNA from 1 species